AAUCAACGCUGGCGGCGUGCCUCAGACAUGCAAGUCGAACGAUUAAACUUUCCUUCGGGAAAGAUAUAAAGUGGCGCACGGGUGAGUAACACGUAGGUAAUGUACCUUUGGGUGGGGAAUAACCAUCGGAAACGAUGGCUAAUACCGCAUAAUGCAGCGGCAUCGCAAGAUGACAGUUGUUAAAGAUUUAUCGCCUAAAGAGCAGCCUGCGGCAGAUUAGGUAGNGGUAAGGUAAUGGCUUACCAAGCCUGCGAUCUGUAACCGACCUGAGAGGGUGGUCGGUCACACUGACACUGAAUAACGGGUCAGACUCCUACGGGAGGCAGCAGUCGGGAAUUUUGGGCAAUGGGCGAAAGCCUGACCCAGCAACGCCGCGUGAAGGACGAAGUC
rnacentral:rRNA from 1 species